GGACUACCGGGGUAUCUAAUCCUGUUUGAUCCCCUUGCUUUCGCGCCUCAGCGUCAGGUAUAAGCUAGAAAAUCGCCUUCGCCACCGGUAUUCUUCCACAUAUCUACGCAUUUCACCGCUACUUGUGGAAUUCUAUUUUCUCCGCCUACCCUCUAGAUUGGCAGUUUCAAAUGCUGUUCCGAAGUUGAGCUUCGGGAUUUCACAUCCGACUUACCUACCCGCCUACGCGCCCUUUACGCCCAAUAAAUCCGAUUAAUGCUCGCACCCUCCGUAUUACCGCGGCUGCUGGCAC
rnacentral:rRNA from 1 species